rnacentral:rRNA from 1 species
AUACGUAGGGGGCGAGCGUUGUCCGGAAUGACUGGGCGUAAAGGGCGUGUAGGCGGCUGUCUAAGUCUGGAGUGAAAGUCCUGCUUUCAAGGUGGGAAUUGCUUUGGAGACUGGAUGGCUUGAGUGCGGAAGAGGUAAGUGGAAUUCCCAGUGUAGCGGUGAAAUGCGUAGAGAUUGGGAGGAACAGCAGUGGCGAAGGCGACUUACUGGGCCGUAACUGACGCUGAGGCGCGAAAGCGUGGGGAGCGAACAGGAUUAGAUACCCUGGUAGUCCACGCGGUAAACGAUGAAUGCCAGGUGUUGCGGGUAUCGACCCCUGCAGUGCCGGAGUAAACACAAUAAGCAUUCCGCCUGGGGAGUACGGCCGCAAGGUUGAAACUCAAAGGAAUUGACGGGGG